rnacentral:rRNA from 1 species
UACAGAGGUCUCAAGCGUUGUUCGGAUUCAUUGGGCGUAAAGGGCGCGUAGGCUGCGGGGCAAGUCGGGUGUGAAAUCUCAGAGCUCAACUCUGAAACUGCACUCGAUACUGCUUUGCUUGAGGACUGGAGAGGAGAUUGGAAUUCACGGUGUAGCAGUGAAAUGCGUAGAUAUCGGGAGGAACACCAGUGGCGAAGGCGGUUACCUGGAGCUUUGCUGACGCUGAUGCGCGAAAGCGUGGGGAGCGAUCCGG